rnacentral:lncRNA from 1 species
AUAUUCUUGAAAAAAAUACUCCUCUAUGCGAACCCAAAAAAAAAGAAAAAAGAAAAAGUAAAUGUGAUGCCCCUAAACCUACGUCUGUACCACACAUAUAUAUACUAAUCUUUGAGAAGUUUAAAUAAGCAUGACUCUUGCUUUGAGUAAAACUCGUAUUAGGAUAAACAAAACAAAUUAAAAGAUAAAGCUUCAAAGUUUUAGUGUGUAUAGGAAACAUAAUUAAAAAAUUUCGCAAACUUUGGCUAUUGGAAAAAUCACUAUCCC